AGAACAGAAUUCUGUCACGGAUGUAGAAAGAGCCUUGCCUGAGGACUUGUAAGAGCGAGGUGGCUAUGAAUGUGGACUUGGCAUGAGGCAGACCUGGCGUGAAUCCUGGCUCCCUCAUUUAUGAGCUGGGCAAUCUCAGGUACUGCCCAGUUUUAGCAAUGAAAGUCCCACGUCACGGGAAACCUCUGAGUCCUGGACAAAUCAAGAUGACAUUUUCUAUGCAUAUGCAAGCAUUAUGCACGGGGCACCUGCCACACCUGCUGCAAGGACCUGGUCCUGCCCCUAGGCCAUCUGCUACGCCAAGGAGACCCUGUGUGUGCAUACAAUACAGUUAAAUAUCAAGGACUGGGGUAGAAAAGGAAGGAAGAAUGGAAGGAGGAAUAGCGGGAGACAGGACAGCCUCAGCGCAAACUUUCAUUUCCUUCCCACCAGAGGGCACUAGGAUCCCCCUCUCCCCACUGCAGUGCUGGCCUGUGAGUUGAACUUUCCACAAUUGCCCAAACCUCUCCUAUAUGACAAGGAGCCCUCAGCCAUUCUGGCCACAGCACCCAGUCCCUCUCCUUAGGAAGCAGGUACAAUCCGUCUAACACAGCCUUGCAGGAGGGUGAGUGGGCGUGGGUGUGCGUGUGCAUCUCUGUAUGUGGGGGUCUGUUUCUGCGUGUGUAUCUCUGUGUCUCUGCACCUGUGUGUGUCCCUGUAUCUGUGCACACGCCCUCUCAGCAGCAGCGUCUGGUGAUGAAGCAGUUGGGGCUGGUGCUUCUGCUGGGAGUGGCGG
rnacentral:lncRNA from 1 species